rnacentral:lncRNA from 1 species
AACAAUCAGUCUCUCGUUCUCAGUAUGGAUGAUCAUGAAGAGGUUGCUGAUGAAUUUAGAGGUGUAAAACUUUGGUGGGCUUCUGGUAAACAUAUUGCCAAGACACAAUCAUUUUCUCUCUAUCCUGUCACAGAUGAGAAAAGGUUCUACAAGCUUACUUUCCACAAAAGACACAGGGAUAUCAUCGUCGGACCUUACCUGAAACAUGUCCUGAAAGAAGGUAGAGCAAUUAAGGUAAGGAACAGGCAAAGGAAGCUUUAUACGAAUAAUGGAUCGAUGUGGAGCCAUGUUGUAUUUGAGCACCCUGCAACAUUUCAGACAUUAGCUAUUGAACCAGAUAAGAAGAAGGAAAUUAUGGAGGACUUGACUACUUUCAGCAAGGCAGAAGAGUUUUAUUCUAGAAUCGGGAGGGCUUGGAAGAGAGGUUAUCUUCUUUAUGGUCC